rnacentral:tRNA from 1 species
GGGCCGGUGGUCUAGCCCGGCUAUGAUACCGCAUUGACAGUGCGGUGGUCGCUGGUUCAAAUCCGGCCCGGCCCACCA